GAAGAAUCUUCCAGAAAGAGCACUGGCGCAUUAGCGGAGACAAUAGUACCUAGAAUCUUGGUCAAGGUCCAUGAUGUUUGCCUACUACAUUUCAGCUGCUUUGUCUACCCAUUCAAAGGCUAUAUAGUGUUGGGCAUGGGUGAAGAGUCCACCAAGGCAGCCAUUGAGGACACUACUGUGGUGAUCUAUAUUAUCAAAGACCAUGCCGCGAGUGAGGAACCAGUAUCACCAAUAAAAGAAUGUUAAUUAUUAAGUAGUGAUCAGGAACAUGAUCAAAUCCAUUCAAAGCUACACAUUUAAUUCAAAUCAAAUUAGCUUAACCAAAUCAUGUUAGAUUGAUUCUAUUCCAUUACGAUGCAUUUUUACAUAAAUUAUAUUUGCAUGACAAAAAGAAAAUAAGUAA